rnacentral:lncRNA from 1 species
UGAUCACUGAUCUGCAGUUCACCAGGAAUUUACAUGAGAACAAGGAAGCAUAGGUGUUCGUGGUUCAUGGUAUGUCAUUACCAGGUAGAGAAACAGAAGUAGAAUACCUGUCUCCAUGUCAGUGUUGGACUCUCUGCUGGUGGAGUAGGGCAGAUCACUCACCAAACUAACACCUGCUGCCAUGACCGACACUGAAACAUGGGAGCAAACAUGCUGUUAACGCCUCAGACACAAAACAAUGGCAGGGCAAACAGUAAAGACACAACAUAAACGAGGAAGUUAUAUGGCUGGUUGCCUUGGAGUUUUCUCCCUUGGGAGGAAAAUGUGCAAUGUCUGUUGCUGUGUGUCACACACCAGAUCUAGUGUCACUGCAACAUAUAAUGUAUAUGUACUGUAUAUAGUGAGGUGUUAUCAUUCUCCCCCCAGUUCAUUCAUGAAACAUUAAAA